CAUUUUCUCAGGGCCAGGUAACUAGAUUGAAGCAGAGUCCAUGAAGAACUAACCAUGCCUCACGCCACCCCUGCAGAUGGCUCCUUCAUGAAGAUCUCCCCAUUUGGAACACAACAUCUGUUUCCUGCUGGGACCCUGACUGACACAAGGGUCAAAAUAAGCUCCUCCAUGGGAAGCAUUGAGAGAGGCAGAAAAUAAAGAGAAGGAAGAUAAUACUAUCCAUUCAUUGCAGUCGUCUAUGUGCUAAACACUGUGUGAAGCAUUUUGCAU
rnacentral:lncRNA from 10 species